AUUGAACGCUGGCGGCAGGCCUAACACAUGCAAGUCGAACGAGUGGCGGACGGGUGAGUAAUGUCUGGGAAACUGCCCGAUGGAGGGGGAUACCUACUGGAAACGGUAGCUAAUACCGCAUACCAUCGGAUGUGCCCAGAUGGGCUUAGCUAGUGGGGGGGGUAACGGCUCACCUAGGCGACGAUCCCUCGCUGGUCUUAGAGGAUGACCAGCCACACUGGAACUGAGACACGGUCCAGACUCCGACGGGAGGCAGCAGGGGGGAAUAUGGCACAAGGGGAGCAAGCCUGAUGCAGCCAUGCCGCGUGGAUGAAGAAGGCCUUCGGGUUGUAAAGUACUUUCAGCGAGGAGGCGUUAAUCGCAGAAGAAGCACCGGCUAACUCCGUGCCAGCAGCCGCGGUAAUAC
rnacentral:rRNA from 1 species